rnacentral:rRNA from 1 species
AUGCACGCUGGCGGCGUGCCUUAUACAUGCCAGUCGAGCGAACAGAUCAGGAGCUUGCUCCUUUGACGUUAGCGGCGGACGGGUGAGUAACACGUGGGUAACCUACCUAUAAGACUGGGAUAACUUCGGGAAACCGGAGCUAAUACCGGAUAACAUUUGGAACCGCCUGGUUCUAAAGUGAAAGAUGGUUUUGCUAUCACUUAUAGAUGGACCCGCGCCGUAUUAGCUAGUUGGUAAGGUAACGGCUUACCAAGGCGACGAUACGUAGCCGACCUGAGAGGGUGAUCGGCCACACUGGAACUGAGACACGGUCCAGACUCCUACGGGAGGCAGAAGUAGGGAAUCUUCCGCAAUGGGCGAAAGCCUGACGGAGCAACGCCGCGUGAGUGAUGAAGGGUUUCGGCUCGUACAACUCUGUUAUUAGGGAAGAACAAAUGUGUAAGUAACUGUGCACGUCUUGACGGUACCUAAUCAGAAAGCCACGGCUAACUACGUG